UUAAAAAAAAAAAAAAAAUCCCUUGUUGCCAGAGAAUAGCUACAACUUUGGCAGAGGCAAUGCUAAGUUUCUGCGUAUGGCUCUGUGCCAGGGUGUGUCAAUCUUGACCCCUUGGAGGAUGAUUAGCAGAGAGAGGGUAGUUAAACCUUUGUGCCCAUUCAGUCCCAGGCUUCU
ensembl:misc_RNA